AGAGAAAAAAAAAAAAAAAAAAAAAAAAGUUAAAAAAACUUUUUAUUUUUUUUUUUUUUCUAUCUUUUUUAAU
rnacentral:ribozyme from 16 species